rnacentral:rRNA from 1 species
GACGAACGCUGGCGGCGUGCUUAACACAUGCAAGUCGAGCGGUAAGGCCCUUUCGGGGUACGACGAGCGGCGAACGGGUAGGAGUAACAACGUGGGUGACCUCGCCCUCCAGCUCUGGGAGUAAGCCUGGGAAACCGGGGUACCUAAUACCGGAUAUGACUCCAUGACGCAUGUUGUGGGGUGGAAAGCCUUGUGCGGCUGAGGAUGGGCCCGGCGGCCUAUCAGCUUGUUGGUGGGGGGAUGGCCUACCAAGGCGACGACGGGUAGGCCGG